GCCUUCGUGGUGUAGUGGUCAGCACGCUCGACGCGUAACCGCGAGGUCCGUGGUUCGAUUCCCGGCAAAGGCG
rnacentral:tRNA from 1 species